rnacentral:sRNA from 1 species
CGACGGCUCAAUGGACGGUGGUGCGAUCGCCGGCGCCGUCAUCGGCAGCUUGCUCGGCGCGGUGCUCAUCGUUGGCGGUGUCAUGUACUUCGUCAAGGGAGGAGGUGGGGCUGGCAAGGAGCCCGCCGGCGUCACGUUCACCAACGUCAACGCCAACG